rnacentral:rRNA from 1 species
UACGGGGGGGGCAAGCGUUGUUCGGAAUUACUGGGCGUAAAGGGCUCGUAGGUGGCCAACUAAGUCAGACGUGAAAUCCCUCAGCUUAACUGGGGAACUGCGUCUGAUACUGGAUGGCUUGAGUUUGGGAGAGGGAUGCGGAAUUCCAGGUGUAGCGGUGAAAUGCGUAGAUAUCAGGAGGAACACCAAUGGCGAAGGCAGCUCGCUGGGACGUGACUGACGCUGAGACGCGAAAGCGUGGGGAGCAAACAGG